AGAUUAUUGGAGGCAAAUGUGCAUGAGAUCUUCAGCGAUGUAUAAUUAUAGCCGUUCGCCAGGAUUCUACACAGAGGGAGAAGUGUCCAUCAAGAACAUGAAGAAGGAGGUGAAAGAGGUGACGUCUAUCGUGGAUCUAAUAAGGGUCGGAAGGAAUUGUCAGUUGUAGAAUCGCUAUGUAACAGUUUUUCAUAAUUUGUAAUAAUUAAUAAAUCUUGAGGAAAAAAACACUUAAAAUUAAAUUUGUUUAUAUAUAUAAUUUAAAAUGACUAUAAUC
rnacentral:lncRNA from 1 species